CUAACAGACACAUAAUUGAGAUCAGACCAUGGGCGUCUAAUCCCAUCUCUAGCCCUCACACUGGGUGUUUCGGACUCUCCGCUGUGUGUUUCUCUGGCCUACACACUGUGUAUUUCGGACUCUCCGCUGUGCAUUUCUCCGGCCCUCACACUGGGUAUUUCAGACUUUCCGCUGUGUGUUUCUCUCGCCCUCACACUGCGUAUUUCGGACUCUCCGCUGUUUUUUUCUCCGGCCCUCACACUGGGUGUUUCGGACUUUCCGCUGUGCGUUUCUCCGGCCCUCACACUGG